rnacentral:tRNA from 1 species
GGGGAUGUGGCUCAAGCAGUAGAGCGCUUGCCUGGCAUGCGUGCGACCCAGGUUCGAUCCUCAGCCCCA